AUUGUUGAGAGCAAUUAGAUGGAUGACCGUGCGCUGUCCGUGGCAGUGUACAUUGAUAUUAUUAUUAUGAAAACAAAUUUGGCUAUAUGGAUCAAGACACUUAAAGAUUUAAUGUCUGGUAAUUGUAACAAUCUGUCCUAAGCAACUAUCUAGAGACUUGUAUGAAGAACUCUGAACAGAGCUGUUCAUAGCAGUUUAAAAUAAUAAGAAGUUUUAAGUAACCAAACUGUCAAAAAGUUAGGAAGUUAUUAUACAAAAAUAUAGUAACAACUGUGGAAAGAAAUUUUAGGCAACGAACAAAAAUCAAGACAUGUUUAAAUGAUGACAAUAUAAUAUUAGAGGAGAAAGCAGGAUAAAACUGUGUAUUAAAUAAAAUUGAAUUGUGUCUGCUUUGGGUCUGGAUCCCUCAGGUGCCCGUUUGGUGACAGGAGGAUAUGACUCUGAUGUUAAGUUUUGGGAUUUUGCUGGAAUGGAUGCUUCUUUUAAGGCAUUUCAAUCCCUUCAGCCCUGUGAGUGGUAUGCAUUCACUUACUUAAUAUCUUCAUAUUUGACUUAGUAUCUUCACAUUGGAAGACAGUGCUAUUGGCUUUGGAAUCCCAUCUACAAGGAUUUGUAUCAAAAUACAUUAUGUUUAUAUGACUGUAUACUGCCUUCAUAAUUUAAAUGAAGUAAAAUGAGCC
rnacentral:lncRNA from 1 species